rnacentral:rRNA from 1 species
GACAGAGGGUGCAAACGUUGUUCGGAAUUACUGAGCGUAAAGCGCGUGUAGGCGGCCCUGCAAGUCGGGUGUGAAAUCCCAUGGCUCAACCAUGGAAGUGCACUCGAAACUGCAGGGCUAGAGUCCUGGAGAGGAAGGUGGAAUGCUUGGUGUAGAGGUGAAAUUCGUAGAUAUCAAGCGGAACACCGGUGGCGAAGGCGGCCUUCUGGACAGUGACUGACGCUGAGACGCGAAAGCGUGGGGAGCAAACAGG